UUUCCAACGCGCCAUUGUGUUUACGCGGCGUACAUUUUUGUCCGCCGGCGACGCAUCGCGGAGGUAAAACCGUAGGAAAAGAUAGAGGAGAUAGUUGCGAAACCCUCCACUAACGUCAACGUGAGAUACUGAAAUAUUUUCUAGUCUCCGGCCGCGCUCACGAAACCGGCGCUCCUCGAGAUGCAGGGAUGGACACAUUGAGCGCCUCGGUCAUCUUCACGGUCCAGCGCUGUCUCUGAAUGCACUCCUAUUUUGGUUAACGCUGUUCAUGAUGAUCGCGCACAUACAAUUACACACGUGAACAAAUCGUGUAAAUGCGAAGGAAGAAAAAAAAAAGGAAAACGGGGAGAGCGGGAGAAUUCUGUCCUUCUCUUCGGCGCGUUUCGCAAUCUCCGUCGUGCUAAACUUCCUGAGGGUCCACGUGGCCGUGCCAUUGUGUCGCGAUGGCACUAAUGAUUCGUUCUGAUCCGGUAUGGCCCCUCCCUCGAAGACCGUUUCCGCAACAUCGCCAUCGGAGUCUCGUGACGUUUGGCUCGCACCAGCUAGGGUGACUCUCCGGCAGUAAUUUUUUUAGAGUCCUGUCUGUAGAAAUUAUCUUGUAUUUUAAACUGGCAUUAAAGAUGUCACAAAUCAUGAAUAAAUUCAAAUUAAAAGUGAUGCAAAUUAAGUUCUGAAAAA